ACGAACGCUGGCGGCGUGCUUAACACAUGCAAGUCGAACGGAAAGGCCCUGCUUUUGUGGGGUGCUCGAGUGGCGAACGGGUGAGUAACACGUGAGUAACCUGCCCUUGACUUUGGGAUAACUUCAGGAAACUGGGGCUAAUACCGGAUAGGAGCUCCUGCUGCAUGGUGGGGGUUGGAAAGUUUCGGCGGUUUGGGAUGGACUCGCGGCUUAUCAGCUUGUUGGUGGGGUAGUGGCUUACCAAGGCUUUGACGGGUAGCCGGCCUGAGAGGGUGACCGGCCACAUUGGGACUGAGAUACGGCCCAGACUCCUACGGGAGGCAGCAGUGGGGAAUAUUGCACAAUGGGCGGAAGCCUGAUGCAGCAACGCCGCGUGCGGGAUGACGGCCUUCGGGUUGUAAACCGCUUUCGCCUGUGACGAAGCGUGAGUGACGGUAAUGGGUAAAGAAGCACCGGCUAACUACGUG
rnacentral:rRNA from 1 species